rnacentral:rRNA from 1 species
AACGAACGUUAGCGGCGCGCUUAACACAUGCAAGUCGUGCGAGAAAGGGAGCAAUCCCCGGUAAAGCGGCGCACGGGUGAGUAACACGUAGGUAACGUGCCCCCAGGUGGUGGAUAACCUUCCGAAAGGAGGGCUAAUACAGCAUAAGACCACGGCUUCGAAAGGAGCUGAGGUCAAAGUCGGCCUCUAUUCAUAAGCUGACGCCAGGGGAUCGGCCUGCGGCCCCAUCAGGGUAGUUGGUAGGGUAAUGGCCUACCAAGCCUAAGACGGGUAGCUGGUCUGAGAGGAUGAUCAGCCACACUGGAACUGAGACACGGUCCAGACUCCUACGGGAGGCAGCAGUGGGGAAUCUUGCGCAAUGGGCGAAAGCCUGACGCAGCGACGCCGCGUGGGUGAUGAA